UACGUAGGGGGCUAGCGUUGUUCGGAAUUACUGGGCGUAAAGCGCACGUAGGCGGACUGUUAAGUCGGGGGUGAAAUCCUGGGGCUCAACCUCAGAAUUGCCUCCGAUACUGGCAGUCUCGAGUGCGGGAGAGGUGAGUGGAAUUCCCAGUGUAGAGGUGAAAUUCGUAGAUAUUGGGAAGAACACCAGUGGCGAAGGCGGCUCACUGGCCCGUAACUGACGCUGAGGUGCGAAAGCGUGGGGAGCAAACAGG
rnacentral:rRNA from 1 species